GGCGUCAAAGUGCCCCUGACCACAAACACCGAAACACCGCAGUCGGGAGGAACCACUUCCUUAUCACAGAGACGUCGAGCUCCUCGCUGCGCCCCUUCCCGGAGGGCAGGGACGGCGGGGACGGGGUCGGGCACUGCGGGCAGCCCCCCACGGACCCCCCGCGCCGCCCUCGCCCUGACGCGGGGCCGGCACAGCCCGCCCGGCCCCCUCCAGGCGCUGCCCCUCCCGGCGCUACCAGCUCCCCGUAGAGAUCCCCGGGGCUCAGCGGGAACAGGGCGUUCAGCGCCUCCUCCAUGCGCUCCGGCACUCGCUGCCCUCGGGUCUUCUUUGAAGUCAACUCUGAGUAUGUAAAAACUGCCCAUUUCUGAUAAAAUCAGGAUUGUCUUUUUAGCUUGGUGAUACAAGUACUCUUGUACAGGAAAAGUGAAGCUGAUAGCAGAGGGGUUUAAGGAGUCCAAAUAAAAAGUGGGAACUACUGAGAGGAGUCUGGCUUCCUCCUCUUCAUUCCCUCCCAUCAAGUAUUUAUACACAUUGAUGACUGCUCCCUGAGCCUUCUCUCUUCUGGACCGAAGAGUUCCAGCUGUCUCAACUUCUCCUAUUAUGAAAGACACUCCAGUCCUUUAGUCACCUGCACAGGACUCACUCCAAUAAUGAAAGCAACAUAAAGGGAGGAAGUGAUAAAAAGAGUUUUUUGGCAGAAAACCCUCUAGAACAGGAAGAAGAUAAUGUUCUGUGAAAUGUACCUUAAGCAAUGAGAAGGACAGUGUGUAACUCAUCAACCAGGCUUCAACCAGCAAGCAAUCACUACAGCUAUUGUGUCCAAUUGUCCAUCAUAAAAAUCACCAUUUUCUUCAGAGAAGGAGGAGGAUGUAUUUUUUGUCAACUGCUGAUGUUUAGUGAUUAAGCCAAAAGUAGUACCAAAUGCACACAAUUGUAUUUGUCAGAGUGUAAAGUAAAGGUAAAAAAACCUUUAUGUUUUCUGACUGUGCCAGUAUAUUCAUUCUCAGUUACCUGCUUCCUGCAUGGGGAGGGAAGCAGUCCAUCAUACACAAAAUAGAACAUUCUGGUAGCGCGAACUGUGUAUAAAUAAUUAACACAAUGAAAUUAUUUUGAGACGUGCUUGCUAUUGCUCUAUUUUAAAGGUUAAAGGGCAUCCUAGCACUUACAAGCUUAAAUCCACAAAAGACUAUUGGAUCCUCUACUCUUCACCUCCUGUGUAUAUCAAGCACAUGAUAUAUGAGUUGAAAGGCUUUUAGGCUUUAAUUUGAGAUGGAUUACUGCCUGCUUGCAGCAAAGUAUCUUAAUAA